AACGCGUAGAAAUCUACCUAGUAGUGGGGGAUAGCCCAGAGAAAUUUGGAUUAAUACCGCAUACGCCCUACGGGGGAAAGCGGGGGAUCUUCGGACCUCGUGCUAUUAGAUGAGUCUGCGUCGGAUUAGCUUGUUGGUGAGGUAAUGGCUCACCAAGGCGACGAUCCGUAGCUGGUCUGAGAGGAUGACCAGCCACACUGGAACUGAGACACGGUCCAGACUCCUACGGGAGGCAGCAGUGGGGAAUAUUGCACAAUGGGCGCAAGCCUGAUGCAGCCAUGCCGCGUGUGUGAAGAAGGCCUUAGGGUUGUAAAGCACUUUCAGCAGUGAGGAAAGGGGUGUCGUUAAUAGCGCCAUCCUGUGACGUUAACUGCAGAAGAAGGACCGGCUAACUCCGUG
rnacentral:rRNA from 1 species